UGGGGGAUACCCGCCGGAAACGGCGACUAAUACCGCAUGAGCUUGUUCUUGGGGACGAGGACAAGGAAAGGUUUUCGGACCGGGGUUGGAGGGGGCUGCGGCCGAUUAGCUUGUUGGUGGGGUAACGGCCUACCAAGGGCGGUGAUCGGUAGCUGGUCUGAGAGGACGGCCAGCCACACGGGGACUGAGACACGGCCCCGACUCCUACGGGAGGCAGCAGCAAGGAAUUUUCUGCAAUGGGCGCAAGCCUGACAGAGCAACGCCGCGUGGGGGAUGACGCGCUUCGGUGUGUAAACCCCUUUUCCCUGGGACGAAGCAAGUGACGGUACCCUGAGAAUAAGCUCCGGCUAACUGCGUGCCAGCAGCCGCGGUAAGACGUAGGGAGCAAGCGUUGUCCGGAUUUACUGGGCGUAAAGCGCGCGCAGGCGGCCUGGUCAGUGAGAAGUGAAAUCUCCAGAGCUCAACGUGGGAAAUUGCUUUUCAUACUGGCAGGCUGGAGGGAUGUAGAGGUGAAUGGAAUUCCCGGUGUAGCGGUGAAAUGCGUUGAUAUCGGGAGGAACACCCAUGGCGAAGGCAGUUCACUGGACAUCUCCUGACGCUGAGGCGCGAAAGCGUGGGUAGCAAACAGGAUUAGAUACCCUGGUAGUCCACGCCCUAAACGAUGGAUACUAGGCGUAAGAGGUAUCGACCCCUCUUGUGCCGCAGCUAACGCAUUAAGUAUCCCGCCUGGGGAGUACGGCCGCAAGGUUGAAACUCAAAUGAAUUGACGGGGACCCGCACAAGCGGUGGAGCAUGUGGAUUAAUUCGAUACUAACCGAAGAACCUUACCCAGGC
rnacentral:rRNA from 1 species